rnacentral:rRNA from 1 species
CGGGACGGGUGAGUAAUGUCUGGGAAACUGCCCGAUGGAGGGGGAUAACUACUGGAAACGGUAGCUAAUACCGCAUAAUGUCUGCGGACCAAAGCGGGGGACCUCCGGGCCUCGCGCCAUCAGAUGAACCCAUAUGGGAUUAGCUAGUAGGUGGGGUAACGGCUCACCUAGGCGACGAUCCCUAGCUGGUCUGAGAGGAUGACCAGCCACACUGGAACUGAGACACGGUCCAG